rnacentral:lncRNA from 1 species
GAUGCCCUUUGGACAUUGUAUAGUCUUAGUAGAUAUAUCACACCAGGAAUUCAUUAACAUUUUUCAAAGAGUUAACUUCAGAAAUUGCUGCUGAAUCCCCUUUAUCCCAUAAAAUGCCUUAUUUGCACUGUCAACUUACUGAGCAGUCUUGUAAUUGGAAAUGAGUGUUAGAAAGAGUUUGUGCUUUUCUAUGAUGUACAAAUGAAUCGGAUCUAGUACCCAAACUGGUAGGAUUACUGCAUUCAUACUGGAGACCAUACAUGUAGAAACAGCAUUCAUUGCAGCAUAGCAGCUAGGAACUCAGUGUGAAGAGACUGCCACACUUCAAAACACACGGCCAGCAAUACUUGCUGUUGCACAAUAUUGGCAAUCUGGUGGCAGAGAGCAUGGGCUGUUUUCACCUUAGUGUGCUAAUAUUUCACAGAAUGGUUCCAGAAGUGGUUGUGCAUGCUCACCCCAUUCUUCUAUAGAGCAUGUGAAGAGAGCAGCCCAUUUGCUUUCACCUGCUAGGAAAGCACCAGCACCUGUGCAGCAACAGUACCAUUCUGCUUACUUACAAUAUCUCCAUUCCUGUUAUGACACUGCAGUCCUUCUGUGGAAAAAGCUCAACUCUGGAUUGCACAAGUGAUGAGGCAGCAGCAACUUGAAAAAAUGGAACAGUUGGGACUAUGUAUUCAUACCUGCAAUUGCCUCUGACAACUGGAAAACAAUGGUGAGAAUGAGGUAUAAAGCAGAUCUGGAAAAUUUUCAAGUCAGUUAGCUUACAGUAUUUUACAUAUC